rnacentral:rRNA from 1 species
AUACGUAGGGGGCGAGCGUUGUCCGGAAUGAUUGGGCGUAAAGGGCGCGUAGGCGGCGCGGUAAGUCUGGAGUGAAAGUCCUGCUUUCAAGGUGGGAAUUGCUUUGGAUACUGCCGCGCUUGAGUGCAGGAGAGGUUAUCGGAAUUCCCGGUGUAGCGGUGAAAUGCGUAGAGAUUGGGAGGAACACCAGUGGCGAAGGCGACUUACUGGACUGUAACUGACGCUGAGGCGCGAAAGUGUGGGGAGCAAACAGGAUUAGAUACCCUGGUAGUCCACACUGUAAACGAUGAAUGCUAGGUGUAGGGGGUAUCGACCCCUUCUGUGCCGCAGUCAACACAAUAAGUAUUCCACCUGGGGAGUACGUUCGCAAGAAUGAAACUCAAAGGAAUUGACGGGG